rnacentral:misc_RNA from 1 species
UGACAUCCAUCGGACAGUGUUCCCAACACUGUCCGCGUCGGGCACCCGCUUCCGGCUGUUUGCCGGUAGCGGUGCCUCAGAGUAUGCUGUGCGGAGUUUGCAACGACUCAACUCUUGGACCUUAAACAGUCUGGGUUGGCCUGUCUGCAGGCUGCACACGCCUGGUGCCGGUGCCUGCCACCCUGCCCGGAGCACCGCCUCAACCACACUU